rnacentral:rRNA from 1 species
UACGUAGGGUGCAAGCGUUGUCCGGAAUUAUUGGGCGUAAAGAGCUCGUAGGCGGUCUGUCGCGUCGGCUGUGAAAACUCGGGGCUCAACCCCGAGCCUGCAGUCGAUACGGGCAGACUAGAGUGCUGUAGGGGAGACUGGAAUCCUGGUGUAGCGGUGAAAUGCGCAGAUAUCAGGAGGAACACCGAUGGCGAAGGCAGGUCUCUUGGGCCACUACUGACGCUGAGAAGCGAAAGCAUGGGGAGCGAACAGG